ACGAACGCUGGCGGCGUGCUUAACACAUGCAAGUCGAACGGAAAGGCCCUGCUUUUGUGGGGUGCUCGAGUGGCGAACGGGUGAGUAACACGUGAGUAACCUGCCCUUGACUUUGGGAUAACUUCAGGAAACUGGGGCUAAUACCGGAUAGGAGCUCCUGCUGCAUGGUGGGGGUUGGAAAGUUUCGGCGGUUGGGGAUGGACUCGCGGCUUAUCAGCUUGUUGGUGGGGUAGUGGCUUACCAAGGCUUUGACGGGUAGCCGGCCUGAGAGGGUGACCGGCCACAUUGGGACUGAGAUACGGCCCAGACUCCUACGGGAGGCAGCAGUGGGGAAUAUUGCACAAUGGGCGGAAGCCUGAUGCAGCAACGCCGCGUGCGGGAUGACGGCCUUCGGGUUGUAACCCGCUUUCGCCUGUGACGAAGCGUGAGUGACGGUAAUGGGUAAAGAAGCACCGGCUAACUACGUG
rnacentral:rRNA from 1 species